GAUGAAUGCUGGCGGCGUGCCUAAUACAUGCAAGUCGAGCGAACAGAUAAGGAGCUUGCUCCUUUGACGUUAGCGGCGGACGGGUGAGUAACACGUGGGUAACCUACCUAUAAGACUGGGAUAACUUCGGGAAACCGGAGCUAAUACCGGAUAACAUUUGGAACCGCAUGGUUCUAAAGUGAAAGAUGUUUUUGCUAUCACUUAUAGAUGGACCCGCGCCGUAUUAGCUAGUUGGUAAGGUAACGGCUUACCAAGGCGACGAUACGUAGCCGACCUGAGAGGGUGAUCGGCCACACUGGAACUGAGACACGGUCCAGACUCCUACGGGAGGCAGCAGUAGGGAAUCUUCCGCAAUGGGCGAAAGCCUGACGGAGCAACGCCGCGUGAGUGAUGAAGGGUUUCGGCUCGUAAAACUCUGUUAUUAGGGAAGAACAAAUGUGUAAGUAACUGUGCACGUCUUGACGGUACCUAAUCAGAAAGCCACGGCUAACUACGUG
rnacentral:rRNA from 1 species